rnacentral:rRNA from 1 species
AAUCAACGCUGGCGGCGUGCCUCAGACAUGCAAGUCGAACGAUUAAAGCUCUCUUCGGAGAGUGUAUAGAGUGGCGCACGGGUGAGUAACACGUAAGUAAUCUACCUUCGAGUGGGGAAUAACAGUCGGAAACGACUGCUAAUACCGCAUAAUGCAGCGGCAUCGCAGGAUGACAGCUGUUAAAGGAGCAAUUCGCUUGAAGAGGAGCUUGCGGCAGAUUAGCUAGUUGGUAAGGUAAUGGCUUACCAAGGCUACGAUCUGUAUCCGGUCUAAGAGGACGGUCGGACACACUGACACUGAAUAACGGGUCAGACUCCUACGGGAGGCAGCGA